UGACUGUGCUUUUUAGAGAAGCCUCCCUUGU
rnacentral:piRNA from 1 species